CCUACGGGGUGCUGCAGUGGGGAAUAUUGGACAAUGGGCGAAAGCCUGAUCCAGCCAUGCCGCGUGUGUGAAGAAGGCCUUCGGGUUGUAAAGCACUUUCAGUGGGGAAGAAAGCCUUGGGGCUAAUACCCUCGAGGAAGGACAUCACCCACAGAAGAAGCACCGGCUAACUCCGUGCCAGCAGCCGCGGUAAUACGGAGGGUGCGAGCGUUAAUCGGAAUUACUGGGCGUAAAGCGCGCGUAGGCGGUCUGAUAAGCCGGUUGUGAAAGCCCCGGGCUCAACCUGGGAACGGCAUCCGGAACUGUCAGGCUAGAGUGCAGGAGAGGAAGGUAGAAUUCCCGGUGGAGCGGUGAAAUGCGUAGAGAUCGGGAGGAAUACCAGUGGCGAAGGCGGCCUUCUGGACUGACACUGACGCUGAGGUGCGAAAGCGUGGGUAGCAAACAGGAUUAGAUACCCUAGUAGUC
rnacentral:rRNA from 1 species